UGCCAGCAGCCGCGGUAAUACGGGGGGAGCAAGCGUUGUUCGGAAUUACUGGGCGUAAAGCGCGCGUAGGCGGGCUGUUAAGUCGGGGGUGAAAUCCCGGGGCUCAACCCCGGAACUGCCUCCGAUACUGGCAGCCUAGAGAUCGAGAGAGGCGAGUGGAAUUGCGAGUGUAGAGGUGAAAUUCGUAGAUAUUCGCAGGAACACCAGUGGCGAAGGCGGCUUUCUGGACCAAUACUGACGCUGAGAUGCGAAAGCGUGGGGAGCGAACAGGAUUAGAUA
rnacentral:rRNA from 1 species